rnacentral:sRNA from 1 species
UCAUGUUCACCUACAAGUCCACACAGUUCAACGUGGAGGGCUUCGCCUUGGUGCUGGGGGCCUCGUUCAUCGGUGGCAUUCGCUGGACCCUCACCCAGAUGCUCCUGCAGAAGGCUGAACUCGGCCUCCAGAAUCCCAUCGACACCAUGUUCCACCUGCAGCCACUCAUGUUCCUGGGGCUCUUCCCUCUCUUUGCUGUAUUUGAAGGUCUCCAUUUGUCCACAUCUGAGAAAAUCUUCCGUUUCCAGGACACAGGGCUGCUCCUGCGGGUACUUGGGAGCCUCUUCCUUGGCGGGAUUCUCGCCUUUGGUUUGGGCUUCUCUGAGUUCCUCCUGGUCUCCAGAACCUCCAGCCUCACUCUCUCCAUUGCUGGCAUUUUUAAGGAAGUCUGCACUUUGCUGUUGGCAGCUCAUCUGCUGGGCGAUCAGAUCAGCCUCCUGAACUGGCUGGGCUUCGCCCUCUGCCUCUCGGGAAUAUCCCUCCAUGUUGCCCUCAAAGCCCUGCAUUCCAGAGGUAACCCAGAGUCCCUUCCAGAAGCCUCUGUUUUCUGUUCUUCUCCCUGUGACUCUUAGUGAUUCUGAUGCAGGAAGUGUGCCCGGUGGCUCUGCUGCCGUCACUCCUCUAGGAAGAUGUGGGGGUCAUCUCCAGAGUGGGUGGGUGGGGCCUGGGUGACUCAGCACACAUGCAAAUCAGAGCAAACCAAGAAAACCACGACUGGGCCUGUAACUGUGGUCUCUCUCUAUCCCAAGGUGAUGGUGGCCCCAAGGCCUUGAAGGGGCUGGGCUCCAGCCCCGACCUGGAGCUGCUGCUCCGGAGCAGCCAGCGGGAGGAAGGUGACAAUGAGGAGGAGGAGUACUUUGUGGCCCAGGGGCAGCAGUGACCGGCCAGGGCAAAUGGCUUAGAAGCAGGCCACUCCCCA